GCCUGGGUGGCUGAGUAGGUUAAGUGUCUGACUUCAGCUCAGGUCAUGAUCUCUGUUUGUGAGUUUGAGCCCUGCAUCAGGCU
rnacentral:tRNA from 1 species